UGCAACCUACCCCUUACAGGCGGAUAGCUCGGGGAAACUCGAAUUAACCCGCCAUAAUAUAAUUGGAUGGCAUCAUUUGAUUAUUAAAUCUGCGGAGGUAAAGGAUGGGCAUGCGUCUGAUUAGUUAGUUGGUAGUGUAACGGACUACCAAGACGAUGAUCAGUAGGGGAACUGAGAGGUUGAUCC
rnacentral:rRNA from 1 species